GCAGGUACGUGUAGAAAAAAGAUCAAAUUAGUCCGCUAUUUCGCGCAAAAGAAGAAUUGAUCCGUCAUUGGAGGUUCUUGCAGACUGGGUUGCAGUUGAUUGAUCAUUUCUUGUUUGUUCCUGUUCUUAAGUGGUAGACCAUGCGUUUGAACAAGCAUAAUGGCCAGUCCAUGUGGGGCGACACGGUUCAUACGCAGCGAGCCAUCCAACAUCGAUGAUUAGGCGAUGCUACAUAGUAAUAGAUUAAAUUUUCCCUAAAGCGCUCUAAAAAGUGCCCCUACACUGAGCAUGACCUUUUCCUCUUCUCUGGUUCUGGUGUAUCUUCCUUUUCUUGCUUCGUGCGAUGUGCAGAAUGUAGAGGCCACAACAACUGCAAUAAUGUGUGCCACCACCAAACUCUGUUAAGAAGUAAGAAAAUUAGCAACAUAAUUUUUUUAUGGUUGUACUUGUUGUCUUCGAGGAAGAAUGGCAAGCGGAAGAAGCUAGAUGCUACCGGGGAGAGAAAUACACACUCUUUGCAACAUCCCAACAGCUUAGCAAGAUAGAGUAAUUUUUUUCAGCACCUUGUCAUUCUAGAGUUGAUGUACACUUUCUUACCUGUUAAUGACUUGUAAUGGUGCCGAUCAGUCCUGUAGCUUAACUCCUUUGUUUUUAUUUAAUCCAUCCAUCUUACUCUUAUAAUUUCUUGUUUUAUUUUCCAAGAGAAUUGCAGUUCGUACCAUCUUACAGGCCAUAGAUUUUUCAUGUAUUCGUACUGUACAGUGAUAGUUAGAAAUAUCCCUUUAAUUUUGCAAAUUUCUUUUACUAGCGUUUGAUUAAUUUUCCAUUUUUUCCAUUGUAUCUUGAAUUACAGAGUUUUGAGUAUUUCCUGAGUGACAACAGUCAGCACACAGAAAUGGCAUCAGAAGCUAGACAAGCAAUCAGAGAAAUCGGGUGAAAACAAGAGAAAAGUUGCAUUUAUUCCCCUGAGCCUGAAGGUUAUGGUUUUCUUUCGUGAUUCGUCCGGUAUGAUUUCCUACUUUUAAUAGUAUUAGUACUGAAACUUGCUAUUUUAUUCCAGGAGAAUGUUACAAUUGCAUCUGAUUUUGACAUGACCGUUUGAGGCAGUAAUAAAAUUGCUAAUGGCAAUGUCAUUAAAUGUGCACGAUGUUCUCUUCUAUGCUUUAUUGACUUUUUUUUUUACUGUCUGGACAUUUCUACCUUUGAACAGUUUUGUGACACCUGCCUAGGUAUAUCCAAGAAGCUGAAGGCGUUGAUAGCUUUUCUUGAUUAGAUUGCCUUAUGUUUUUUCUUUACAGUUAAAUCAUACAUGUUCAUCUUAGUACUAUUCCUGAUGGGCAAUGUGUAGACGAUCUCAGCUAACUGCUUGCUUGCAAUCUUAUGGACAACUUAAUUACUAUUUCUUAUUUUAUGAGGCUCUGUGUGAACCUUAUACAAGUAUUGUUGUUUGGCAGGUGAAAUACUAGCUUGAUGAGCCAGGUCCGCCUACUUAUACUUGAUGUUGUUGUGCUUGCAAUAUAUUUUUCUUGCUUCGGUGCAUAAUAUGUUCAGAAAUACUUGGUUCAUUUCGAUCACUGCCUCUGUGUACGUUAUACAAGUGUUGUUGUUUGGCAUGUGAAAUACUAGCUUGAUGAGCCAGACUGGACAACAUUGAUGGACUUCUACGCGGAUGCAUAGAACGAUGACGCGGAAGAAAAGGGCAUCGGCUUGCAGCAAAAUAGCAGAGGGGGAGUGACAUGCUCGUUUCUUUGGGAUUUUAUUCAGGGACUGCUCACAGACACUAUGGCUGCUCGACAGGUACACCUGCUCAUGCAAUUUUACCGUUCUGUAAAUUUAUUCUAUUCUAUACUAUCCGCAAGUAGUUCAACUUUUAAUCCCAGAGACCCAGACAAAUACGUACCGGUGAGAGCCAGAGAGGAUGCAUCCCUGGAGAGUUGCGUGGGGAAGCAUAGCUACAAUUUGAGGCAACAUAUUAACCAGGAACAAGUAAGAUGAGUGAUGAGGGGAGGAUUAGCUUGAGGAUGAAGUUUAUGGGCAAUCUGAAGAGUGCCCUCAUGAGAUAAAUUUAUGGACUGUCUGAACUACAAUGCUCUCAGAAUUAUUUUUUUGUAUCGAUUCCCUUCUAUUAGAAAAAUAGGAAAACAACAUCGCUUCUGGAAACUGUGUAUAAACCUUAUUGUAACUUCCUAGCUAUGACUUCUCCUGUAAUGUUCUGAAAUAAUAUAGGCUAAUGUUAUGCAGUCAUGGUGCUGUUGGCACUAGAAUGAAGUGUGCGUUUUCUUUUGAAUAAACCGUACUGUUGUAUUUCCUUAAUGAUAUAACUUGAUGAUACAACUUCUUUUCAAA